rnacentral:rRNA from 1 species
GACGAACGCUGGCGGCGUGCUUAACACAUGCAAGUCGAACGGAAAGGCCCUUCGGGGUACUCGAGUGGCGAACGGGUGAGUAACACGUGGGUGAUCUGCCCUGCACUUUGGGAUAAGCCUGGGAAACUGGGUCUAAUACCGAAUGGGACCACGCGCUUCAUGGUGUGUGGUGGAAAGCUUUUGCGGUGUGGGAUGGGCCCGCGGCCUAUCAGCUUGUUGGUGGGGUAAUGGCCUACCAAGGCGACGACGGGUAGCCGGCCUGAGAGGGUGACCGGCCACACUGGGACUGAGAUACGGCCCAGACUCCUACGGGAGGCAGCAGUGGGGAAUAUUGCACAAUGGGCGCAAGCCUGAUGCAGCGACGCCGCGUGAGGGAUGACGGCCUUCGGGUUGUAAACCUCUUUCAAUAGGGACGAAGCGCAAGUGACGGUACCUAUAGAAGAAGCACCGGCCAACUACGUG